UACGUAGGAGACGAGCGUUGUCCGGAUUUACUGGGCGUAAAGGGUGCGCAGGCGGCCUUGCGCGUCGCGAGUGAAAUCUCCCGGCUCAACUGGGAGGGUGGUCGCGAGACGGCAGGGCUUGAGGCUCGGUGAGGGGCGUGGAAUUCCGGGUGGAGCGGUGAAAUGCGUAGAUAUCGUUUGGAACGCCGAUGGUGAAAACAGGUUGCUGGGGCUGUGCUGACGCUGAGACACGAAAGCCAGGGGAGCGAACGGG
rnacentral:rRNA from 1 species